rnacentral:lncRNA from 1 species
CGACCCYGUCUUCGCCGCCCUCAAGCGCAUGGAGCUGGCGGGCUGCGCCGAGGUGCUGCGGCUGCGCCUGCAGGACUGCCCCUGAGCCGUGCCGCGAGCCGUGCUGCAAGCCAUGCCGCAUGCCGUGCUGCAUGCCACAUGCCGCGCUGCAUKCCAUGUGCCGGGCUGCAUGCCGUGCUGCAUGCCGUGCCGUGCUGCGUGCCGGGCUGCAGGACGCAGCAUCACUGGCCGCCCCAGGCUCCUGCCGGGCUGUGCACGUCCCAGCGGCGCUGGCCACAGGGCUGCUGGUCCCGGAGCAGCGCAGCCCCGUGGGGAGCUGGCGGCGGCGGCGCACUGCCUGGCGCUGCGGGGCGCCCUACCCCUAAGUAUAGUUACUUAUGCCGUGUAGACAUGUUAUGUCAGUUAUCCGCCCGCGGGCUCGGCCGGCGGAAGUGGGACGGAGCUCUCCUGCCGGCGGGUGCUGGCCCGCAGCCCCCCUAUUUAUGUCCUCCCCCUGCCUGCGGCGCACCGGCCGGGUCCCGCGGCGCCGAGCCCGCGCCGAACCCAUGGGAUAGUUCUCGAGGCCGCCCGGGGCGUGCGGGGCCGGCCCCCACGGAAAUAAAGCGGCCUCUUCUCCACCUGCCGGCACCUGGCCCUUCUUCCCGGGGCUGCCGCCGGCCCCGCGCGCGGCGCGGGCUGCGGGCGGAUGGCGCUGGGGCACCGCGGGCAUCGGGGACACCGCAGGCGCUGGGGCCGCUGCACGUGUCACGGGCGCUGGGGACGCUGCAGGUGCUGGCGACACCACGGGGCAGCCUGGAGGAAGGUGCGGGGCGCUGCUGGAGGGGUUCACUGUUUUAUUCGCUGAAAAUGCAGGCGCUCUAGGGCAGACGCAAGCCGAAAGUCUCCCUCUAGCGGCUCCGGGAACGGGACGGGACGCGGCGGAGGCGAGCGAGCCGGGCCGUGCAUGCACGGCGCCAGCGGCGUGCACGGGACUGGCAGCGUGCACGGGACGGGCGGCGUGCACGGGGGCUGGUGGCGUGCACGGGGCCAUUGGCGUGCCCAGGGCUGGCGGCAUGCGCGGUG